rnacentral:rRNA from 1 species
UACGGAGGGGGCAAGCGUUGUUCGGAAUUACUGGGCGUAAAGCGCGCGUAGGCGGCUUUGCAAGCCGGAUGUGAAAUCCCCGGGCUUAACCUGGGAACUGCAUUCGGGACUGCAUUGCUAGAGUAUGGGAGAGGGAAGUGGAAUUUCAGGUGUAGCGGUGAAAUGCGUAGAUAUCCGAAGGAACAUCAGUGGCGAAAGCGACUUCCUGGACCAAUACUGACGCUCAUGUGCGAAAGCGUGGGGAGCAAACAGG